rnacentral:rRNA from 1 species
CGGACGGGUGAGUAACGCGUGAGAAUCUGCCCUCAGGAGGGGGAUAACAGUUGGAAACGACUGCUAAUACCCCAUAUGCCGAGAGGUGAAACGAAUUUCGCCUGGGGAUGAGCUCGCGUCUGAUUAGCUUGUUGGUGAGGUAAUGGCUUACCAAGGCUUCGAUCAGUAGCUGGUCUGAGAGGACGAUCAGCCACACUGGGACUGAGACACGGCCCAGACUCCUACGGGAGGCAGCAGUGGGGAAUUUUCCGCAAUGGGCGCAAGCCUGACGGAGCAACGCCGCGUGAGGGAUGGAGGCCUUUGGGCUGUAAACCUCUUUUCUCAAGGAAGAAGAUCUGACGGUACUUGAGGAAUAAGCCACGGCUAAUUCCGUGCCAGCAGCCGCGGUAAUACGGGAGUGGCAAGCGUUAUCCGGAAUUAUUGGGCGUAAAGCGUCCGCAGGCGGCCGUUUAAGUCUGUUGUUAAAUCGUGGAGCUCAACUCCAUCACGGCAAUGGAAACUGUUCGGCUUGAGUAUGGUAGGGGCAGAGGGAAUUUCCGGUGUAGCGGUGAAAUGCGUAGAUAUCGGGAAGAACACCAGUGGCAAAAGCGCUCUGCUGGGCCAUUACUGACGCUCAUGGACGAAAGCCAGGGGAGCGAAUGGGAUUAGAUACCCCAGUAGUC